GAACCUACUAUGCCAGGUCUCCCGCUGUGCACAGCAGAAGUUCUGCAGAGGACUGUGAAUUCAGAAUCCAGCUCCUCGUUUUUAUCCCAGAGACUGCACCAUUGGGAGUUUGCAAAAGGUGUGAUGGACUGGCAGAAACUCGGAGCUGGGCUGGGCUGAACUGGGUUACCAGUAUACCCAGAACACCAACGAAAGAAGCUGUGACCUUCCCUGACCUGCCUUCCUCCAGAUACCUCUACUGCCACCUACCCAGUGGGUCCUGGGACAAAUGGGGGUUACUGCUGAGGCAUGAAGUCAGGGGGUUGCCCUCUGGGGCAGAUGCCUGGCUGGCGCUUCCUUUUCUGCCCUGGACAGGCCAUGAAGCCACACUGGGAAUUAAAGUCACUCUUUCCUGGG